rnacentral:rRNA from 1 species
UACCAGCACCCCGAGUGGUCGGGACGAUUAUUGGGCCUAAAGCAUCCGUAGCCGGUCUUGCAAGUCUUCCGUUAAAUCCAGCUGCUUAACGGAUGGGCUGCGGAAGAUACUACAAGACUAGGAGGCGGGAGAGGCAAGCGGUACUCAGUGGGUAGGGGUAAAAUCCUCUGAUCCAUUGAAGACCACCAGUGGCGAAGGCGGCUUGCGAGGACGCGCUCGGCGGUGAGGGAUGAAAGCUGGGGGAGCAAACCGG